GGCGCGAAAGAGUUGGGCCGCUUUGGACGGCGGCGGUGAAUCGGAGAAGAUGGAGAGCACAGGCGAAACUGAACCCGAAUUUCCGGCAUUUCCAUACAAGCCCUACUCGAUCCAGCUCGAGUUCAUGAAGGCACUCUAUAACUCUCUUAACAAAGGCGGAAUCUCCAUGCUUGAAAGCCCCACCGGUACGGGAAAAACUCUAAGCAUCAUAUGUAGCGCUUUGCAAUGGGUGGCUGACCAAAGGAAGAAACAGAAUGGUGAGAUACAAGAUGGGCACGGCAAGACUGGCACAAAUGGAAGCCAGUUUAAUUCAGAUGACGAGCCUGAUUGGAUGAGGGAGUUCGUUGUAAGUAAAGACCAUCACAUUCGGGAGAAUAAUAGUAAGAAAAAGGAAUUCGGGGUGGGAUUAGAAAGACAUCAUAAAAAAGGUUGCAAGGAUAAUUAUCAAAAUUUGUUUCCACAAGAGGAGGAAGACCAUUGUAAUAUGAGGGAACAAAAGAAUAUGAAGGCUUCAAAGGAUAGUCUGGAGAUGGACGAUCAAGAGUUUUUGGUCGAGGACUAUGAAAGUGAUGAUGAAGGGACUCUUAUUAGUGGGAAGUCAAAGAGGAAGGUCAAUGAGGUUUCAAUAAGUUCAUCUAGUGAUGACGAGGAGGAACAAGAUGAAUCUAACGAAGAGGAGAAGUUGAAAGUUUACUUUUGUAGUCGAACGCAUUCACAGCUUUCACAAUUUAUAAAGGAGUUAAGGAAGACUAUCUUUGCAAAUGAGUUGAAUGUCAUCUGCCUGGGUUCUAGGAAGAAUUUUUGUAUUAAUGAAGAGGUGCUCAAACUUGGUAAUGCAACUCACAUAAAUGAGCGAUGCUUGGAACUUCAAAAGAAAAAGACUACCCAGACAUCCAAAACCAAGAAGUUAGGUGGUGCAGGAAAAAUGCGCCGGACCAAGGCUUCUUCUGGGUGCCCAAUGCUUAGAAAUCCAAAGCUACAAAAAAACUUUAGGAGUCAGAUCUCUCAAAGAGAAGCCUUAGACAUUGAAGAUCUUGUUCACCUUGGAAGAAAUUUGGGAACAUGUCCAUAUUAUGGUUCCCGAAGCAUGGUCCAGGCUGCUGAUCUUAUUGUCCUACCUUAUCAGUCUCUUUUGUCAAAAUCAUCCCGUGAAUCCCUUGGUCUUGUUUUGAAGAACAAUAUUAUAAUUAUUGACGAGGCCCACAAUUUAGCUGAUUCUCUCAUCAGUAUGUAUGAUUCAAGGAUCACUUAUUCACAGUUGGAGAAUGUGCAACAGCAGAUGGAGAGGUAUUUUGAAAGAUUUCGCAGCCUUUUGGGACCAGGAAAUCGGAGAUAUAUUCAAACUCUAAUUAUUGUUACUAGGGCUCUCCUUAAAAUCUUACACAAUGAGAAGGAAGCAUCUUAUGUGGAACCUUGUCAAAAUAAUACAAGUGGAAAAAAGGGUACCUUAGACUAUGCCAUGGCUAUAAAUGAAUUUCUGUUCUCUCUCAAUAUAGACAAUAUCAACUUUGUAAAACUGCUACAGUAUAUGAAGGAAAGCAACAUUGUGCACAAGGUUAUUGGGUAUGGAGAAAGAAUGGUUAGCUUAAGAAAUGGCACGGGAGUGAGUACCUCCGGAGACUGUUAUGAGAAGGAAAGUACUCUGUCAAGCUUCAGGGCAUUAGCUGAUAUGCUGCUGUCCCUUAUAAACUUUGAUGGUGAUGGAAGAAUUAUCAUCUCAAAGAACAGACGAACAUGCUCAGGGGAAUGUGGUGGUUAUAUAAAAUUUGUUAUGCUCACAGGGGAGAAGAUAUUUUCUGAGGUCGUAAACCAAGCACGUGCUGUUGUUCUUGCUGGUGGAACUUUGCAACCUAUAGAAGAAACAAGAGAGCGGCUCAUUCCAUGGUUGCUCCCUUCACAGUUGAAUUUCUUUUCAUGCAGUCACAUUGUUCCUCCUGAAAGUAUUUUGCCAAUGGCUGUUUCAUCUGGUCCUUCUGGUCAGCCUUUUGAUUUUAGCUACAACACCAGGAGCUCAUCUGCUAUCGUAAAGGAGCUAGGGCUUUUGCUUUGUAAUUUAGUGACUGUGGUUCCAGAAGGAAUUGUUGUGUUCUUCUCUUCAUUUGAUUAUGAAGAACAGGUAUAUGGUGCAUGGAAAGCUUCGGGCAUCCUUGACAGGAUUAUGAAGAAAAAGCGUAUAUUUAGAGAGCCUAGAAAGAAUACUGAUGUGGAAUCUGUGCUUAGGGAAUACAAGGAAAACAUUGAUGGAUUGUGUAGUAAGGAUCCCAAACAAAAUAUUCCAUCUGCUAGUGGCGCCCUACUACUUGCUGUUGUUGGGGGCAAAAUAUCUGAAGGCAUCAACUUAAGUGAUGGGAUGGGCAGGUGUAUUGUCAUGGUUGGCCUGCCCUACCCUAGUCCAUCUGACAUCGAGUUGAUGGAGAGGGUGAAGCAUAUUGAAAUUCUGGGAAAUUCAAAUUCCAUUAAGAGUUCGAAGUUUUAUAAUGAGGUUCCUAGUGGAGAUGUUGAAAUUGGUUUAGAGAUCUUGAGAAGUUGCAAGAGAGGAAAAGAGUAUUAUGAGAAUCUUUGCAUGAAAGCCGUUAAUCAGUCAAUCGGUAGAGCUAUUCGACAUAUCAAUGAUUAUGCAGCAAUUCUAUUAGUUGAUGGUCGGUAUGCCUCUAAUUCCUCAAAAAGAAGCUUUUCGCACCCAGCUGACAAGCUCCCAAAGUGGAUUAAGGACUGUCUCAUUUCUUCAACUGAGAAUUAUGGUGAAGUCCAUCGAAGGUUGCAUCAGUUCUUUAAACUCAACAAAAAGAUAGGACAAUGAUAGAAAUUUAUGUUGAAUUUGUCGUUAUUUGGGGCAGAUGUGCACAAAACGAUCAUUUCUUCACCAUUGUUUUACUCUCAGCAAUAAUUUGUAUUAUAGCAGUUGGUCCCAGUAGGAAAGGUGAAAUCAGCUGAAACUUAGAUCUGUAGUUGAAUCGUAGGAUUUGUGAAAUAAGCUAACGCAUAUAUUGGUAUCUUUCUAAUAUGAUAUGACCUCCAAUGCUCUUCUAGCGCCUGUUUAUAUUUGUUCUCAACAGAUUUUAGUAGUGGGUGGCUUUAUUCCAUCAAUUCAUGUACAAGUUUUAAGAUGUUUCGGCAGUGUGUAACAACUAACAGCCAAGAUGUUUAGCAUAUUGGACAUCUACACGUUAUUUUGAGGAGCCUUAUUGUAUUAUCAAGCUUUUUCACCCACAACAUUUGACAAAUCUUGCUGUCAUUCCAAGCAACAAAUUCGCUAUUCAGAAGCAUGGUGAUUAUUGACUAUUUCCCCAGGUCGAGUCUGGAAUUACGAACAUUGGAUUUGUCCGAGGUUGAGUCAGCCACUCACAUCGUAUGCAAGACCAAUUGACCUCAUUCCACAGCAUUAACACGUGCCUAUAUUUCUUGAAUUUUUUUUUUUUUAGAAUAUUACACCACAUGUAGAGUCGGAGAUUCAAACCUACAACUCUUUAGGACCAAAAAGAAAGAAGAAGAAGAAAAAACAUUGGUAGUCAAAAACGAAGCAUUCUAGCUCAUGGGAUUCCGUGCUACACAUCAUCAAGAUUGAAGCGGUUAAGGUUUUCAACUUUUAAAGAGAGAGAAUGGCCCAAAAGGAUGGAGAAGAAGUUAAAGGCAAGAUUUGGAAUUUCCACUUGCUCUGGCUUUGUCUUUAGGUAACUACGUGAAACAUGAAUUGUCUCCAUCUUUCUUUUCUGCGUUGCAGAAAUAUUUAGUGAACCAAGGAAGAGAGAGAGAGAAAUAGAGAG